UUCGUCUGCUGGCCCCACCACGCCUUCGCUUAUUUACCCAUGUAUCAGCGUUUACUGGGAACCCCCUGGGCAUGCUGGGCAGCCAGCUGGCACUAAGGGCAUAAGGAUAAACACAAGGUCUCCCAGCCCAAAGAGCUCACCCUCUAGACCAGGCUGCCGACGGGUGGCCCACUUGCCUCCAGAUGUGGCCCCCAGACCUGCUUGCUUUGGUGCCCACCCCCCAUAGUUUAUAGUUGGAAAUGGCCCAGAAAAAUCUGAUUUCUGGCUUCUCUUGACAAGUCAGAAGAUCUGGCAGCUGUGGUCUGCGUUCCUACAACCAGUGGGCUGAAGAGUGGCCGCUCCUCUCCGCACCCUUGCAGAGGGCACACUCGAGCCAGUUUGCUGCGGCCCUGCCCCUCCCUAUGGUCUCGUGCCUGGUCUUCCUUGCUCAGUACCUCCCCCUCCCCAUCUGACCCCUGUAGACAUUUAAGCUGAUUUCAGUGGGAGGAGUUAGUGCGGGCCUCUCAGAGGAGGGCAGUGGGUCUUGAUCUCCUGCUAGAGGGUGUCCCCCUCCAGGUCUUCUUGUUUCCUACUCCUCAGGGUGAAUGGAUGUAUCAGAUCCUUUCCCAAGAACGGAUUUACAGCAUGUGCUGGGGGAGGGGUGCCAGUGAGGGUCGGGGGUGAGUGGGAGAUCUGAUGCUGGGAUGAUGGCACCAAGACCCAUGAAAGUGGUUUUUUUAAUUUUUGUGCUAUUUGUCGCUCCCGCGGCAUAGGGAGGUUCCCAGGCUAGGAGUAAAAUCGGAGCUGUGGCCGCCGGCCUAUGCCACAGCCACAGCACUGCCAGAUCAGAGCCAUGUCUGCAACCCACACCACAGCUCAUGGCAACGCCGGAUUCUUAACCCAUUAAGCAAGGCCAGGGAUCAGACCUGUAUCCUCAUGUAUCCCAAUCGGGUUCAUUAAUUGCCGAGCCAAGAAGGGAACUCCAGAAGUCAAAUUUGAGACCCACAAGGGAGAGGAGCCUGGAGCUUAGAGGGCAAUUGAGUCAGAUAAAUCGUGUUUUCUAGGGGCAAGACUGGGAACCCUACUUCAACAUCCAGCCCCCUGAUGGAACCUUGUUCUGAACACCACUCCCUGUUCUGGGCAGAGCUGAGGCCCCCAUCAGGCAAAGGGCAUGAGAAAUAACUUCUCCAGCUUUCCUGCCCCUGCCCCUGCACCUGGAGGAAAGGUCACCUGUGCUUUUGCCAAGUCUUGUUUUUUUCCCCCGAAUCUUUGAACUGUCACCUGGGCAGGGGGCCAACCCUAGGGAGAGGGCCAGUGGCUGGCUGGCAGGUAAGGGCCACCUUGUCUCCCCUUCACCUUCUCAGCCAGGUGGCCUGACAGUGGCUGGGCGGUGGCCAGGGGUCUGGAACCAUGGCCCUGUGCGGCGAAGGCGGAGGAUUUGUUCAAAGAGAGAUGCUUUCCUGAGUUAGGGGGCAGGGUGGGGGCUGGGGACUGCUUUUCCCUUUGGAGCUUUCAACGGUCGGGGUGGGGAAGUGCAUGCUGGGGUGUCCAGGGUGGGGCUGGGCUGUAGGGAGUGAGUAAGGAGGCAUCAUUCUCUGCAUCCUGCAAGUGGAGGGUGGUGCCCCCAAGAGGGAGCGCCUCUCUAAGAGAGCGGAGCCUAGGGAACAACCUGUAAGGCGGGGGCUCCUUCUCAGGGCUGAGAACUGGCCACCCCCAGCUCUUUUAGGAGCCUAAGAAUGAGAGCCUCCUUAAAGGAUGGCUCACUCGCUUUCCACUGGUCCCUGUCCAGCCCCUGAGAUGCGCCAGGGAUUGCAGACAAAGGAGGGGAGAAUAGGACAACAAGAGCAUUCUUGUCUCUUGGUCAAGAUCACUCACUCUUGACCUUGGCUGAGCAUUGGAAGACCCUGUGAGCUUUACAAAAUCCUGAUGUCUGGUCCCCAUCUGCAGAGAUUCUUGUUUAAUUGAUCUGGGGUGCAGCCUGCUGUUGGGAUUUUUAAAAGCUCCCCAGGGGAUUCUAGUGUGCAGCGAAGUGUGAGAACCUCUGAUCUAGACCGUGCAGGGCGAGUGCUGUUUACUGGUUUUCCUUUCAUGGGUUUUUUGUUGUGAGCAACAGACCACCAGUCUCGCCAGACUUCUAAGGGUAAUAUAAGAACACUUAGAAAAAGUGGACGGGCUAUGAGACGAGUGGAAAGAAAGCCCAGUUCCUAGUCUGUGCCAAAUACAUUGUAUUUUUAUUUAACCAUCAACUCUGGGAGGUUGAUACGCUCAGGCUCAGUUUACAGAUGAGGAGCCUGAGCGUUGUCUGUGUCUUCUGGGUCCCACUGCUGUAGGAUGGCAGAGCCGUGAAAGCAAUGGACCUGUGACGGGCAGCCAGUGGGAACGAAGUCAGUGCUGAUGCUUUCAGACACAGCAUUUCUGGGGUUGGCUGAGGGGGUGGGGCUUGGGAAAGAACUGAGCUCCUCUCUGCCUCAGAAACAUGCCACAGAGGCUUUCGAAGAUGCGGAGGGGGCAUUUAAGGUGCGGCUUGGAAGAUGCUGAAAGGUGCUAUUUAAUGGGUCACUUUAUACAAAAUAAUCAUCACACUGGCUUCCAAAGCUGGUGACAGUGCUUGCAAGCCGCUUUUUGCAGUGGUGGCAAAGCCCGCUAUGUUCUGCUGCCAGCUCUAUCUUCUUUCUCAGGGUGGGUCUCAGGAGCAGUGGGGCAGGGAGGAGAAUGGCAGGCCUGGUGUCAGGAGAGCUGGUUGGAGUCCUGCCUGGUCACUUGGUGGUCACCUUGCUUUGGGCAAGGGGCUGAGCUCCUGACUCUUGGUGUCCUGAGUCCUGAGCUUCUGAGUCUUCAUAGACAUACUGGGGAUUUCCAUCCAAGGUGGAGUAACAGGGAUUGGAUUUUCCCUUCCCCCUGAAACAAAAAACAAACCAAUAGAGCAAAUGAAACAAUGGUUUUCAAGACACUGGACAUCAGGCCACAAGUUCAGUAACCCCAGAGAGCUCGAUGAUUCUGUUUACUGCUUUGUGAGAGUUUCUAGGUCUUGGCACAGGGCAGGGGGAUGAGGCCAGGAGGGGAGAGAUGGAAAUAUACUAUUGUAAGGUUCUUCUACUCCAGGUACAGUUAUAUGAGAUCUCUUGAAGUUAGACUGUGUGUCCUGUAAAUGGUAAAGCAACCACUCAAAUAUCCCAAAGGUUAGAGUUAGUAAGCAGUUAGGUUAGUUAGUUAGUAAGAUUAGUUAGUAAGCCAGUUCAGGAGAUAAAGCAGAGUUGUCAAUAAUGCCAAAUUCAAAAAACAAAGACAAAAACAAAAC
rnacentral:lncRNA from 1 species